GCAGGCGUGUUUUUCCCUUGGGGCUCUGGGGCGCGGGAGAUUCGUAGACAAUGGCGGCAGCUUGGUCUUCGUACUGUGGUGGAGGAUGUGCCUCCUCUUCCUGUGUGUGUGACCAGAAGAAGUGGGGCGACCCCUCGCUGCUGGGCCGGCGGCUCUCGGAAGACUCAAGCCGCCACCAGCUGCUGCAGAAGUGGACGAGCAUGUGGAACUCGGCGAGCGGGGACGCGUCGGUGGCCGGGGCGGAGAAGGCGCCGAGGGAGGAGGAGGCAGCGGAGGUGGAGAGCCCGUUGGUGUUCCUGUGCUCCGGCUGCCGGCGGCCAUUGGGCGACUCGCUGAGCUGGGUGGCCGCCCAGGAGGACACCAACUGCAUCCUGUUACGCUGUAUAUCCUGUAAUGUUUCUGUGGAUAAAGAGCAGAGGCUAUCCAAAUGGAAAAAUGAAAAUGGUUGCAUUCUUGAGACUUUGUACUGUUCCGGCUGCUCCCUCCACCUUGGCUAUGUGUACAGGUGCACGCCCAAGCACCUAGACUACAAGAGGAACUUAUUCUGCCUCAGCGUGGAAGCCAUUGAAAGUUAUACUUUAGGGUCCUCUGAAAAGCAAAUUGUGUCAGAAGACAAAGAGCUUUUUAAUCUUGAAAGCAGAGUUGAAAUGGAAAAGUCUCUAAAACAGAUGGAAGAUGUUUUGAAGGCGUUACAGACCAAGCUGUGGGAGAUUGAAUCGAAAUUGUCCUUUACCGACUGCAAGAGCUGAACUCAGUUCCACGCCCGCCUCUCUUAUUCUUACAGGAGAAGAUGUGUAGAACUUUUGCAGCUGUACUUUCUGGAUUGUGCCCCACGUUGGAAUUUUAAAACUAGCUUAUGAUACUUGCUGGAAUUGGAAUUUAGGAAUUUUCAUUUUGAUAAGAAACGGAUUUUUCUGAACUAUUUUCUAUGUCAAAAUCAUUAUUUUCUACUUUUAUAACUUGAUUUCACCUUUAAUACUUGGAAUAAUAUUGACUAGUGAAUGGCUGGCCUUGAACUCGUGUUGAUCCUCCUCCGUCAGCCUCUUGAGUGCUGAGAUUACAAGCGUGCAUCACCACACCUGGCUAUAAUUAGCAUGUAUUAUUUUUAUAAUCAAGAAGAGAAUAAAGAUUAAAGUACUCUAAGAUUGAUUUUUUUUUUUAACUGAAUUAUGUUUAACUGAGCUCAUAAAUCCUGGGACCAUGAAACCCACACAGUCCCUGAGCAUGGCACUGUGGUAGACCUGGUCAGAAGUGUAAAUAAAGUUAACCCCAAGUCUGCAGGCCUCUUUCUUAUUCCAGGUACAAAUGGGGUCAAUGACAGCACUCAUUAUGUACGGAUAACUCCCCCAACUUCGGCUCAGAUAUUCCCUAAUUAUGUCUGAGCGUACUAGAGUUACCACAGCAAAUGUCCAAGUCAGAUGAUUUGAUCAUUCAUUAAUUCUGAGUGCUUUUUGAUAGAUUGUCGAUAGCCUUUACUAAUUAAAAAAAAGAAGUGAGCCUUCUAGAUAUCCUGUCAGAAACCUGCUAACUGAUGAAGUCCCCGUUGUCUGUCCACUUAGGUGCUGCGGUGACAUCUUGUGUGGAAGUCCAUUCAGAACAAGUAGGAGAGUGUGUUAGCUGCAGGAUUCAGCUGAUGUUCUGGUUGGUCACGCUGGUUACAGAAUACUCCAGCAGUCAUUUUUGGGGACCAUGCCAAAGACAGAGUGGCUGACUAACUCCUUAUAUAUUGUUAGUGCUAGGGCAGGAGCUGCUGUUCCAUACCUGGAGUCAGUUCACAUGUCCUGAAAGGUCAUUUUACCAAUGAACAGUACUUUCUAACAUCCGUGGUGCUGGUUCACUAAGCCUGCAUUGUGGGUCAAGAGCUCAGGGGCCAUAGUGGCUUCCACUCCCGUGACCUUGACUAGCAGAAGCAACUUUAGAGAGCCUAUGUAUUUUUUUCUCGAGAGCCAUUUGUUAAAUGCUCAGGAUUAUCCCAGGCUGGGGAUUUAGCUCAGUGGUGCCGUACCUGGCUCGAGAGUGCAAGGUCCUGAGUUCGAACCCUGGUACCGGAAAAAAGAAAAAUAAUAUGACUUUUUCCCACACCCCCAAAGACCAGCUCCUAACAGCUUCUUGAGUACUGGGAGUCUAAUGUGAAACACUGCAUUUUGAGAUUAGGGAUUACAGUCCCAUUCUUGACUGCCUGUGACGAAAAAGAAAAAUACCUGAAAGCAAAAGUCGGACUUUCAUAGAAACAGUUGGUGUUACGUACACAUCCUUUUUCUGAAUAAGAUGAAUAACUGGGCAGGUGCUUGCCUCUGAACAAACAGAAAGUACAUUUACAGUCACUUGAUCUUUUUUUAAAAUGAUGUCUGCUUGUUUUUUAGCAGUAAUGCAUCAAGGGAAGUUGGAUCAGCUAACAUAGUGUUAGCAUCUUAAUUUCUGGGAGGAUUAGCAGGCAUGAGCGCCUUCCCACCUUUCCCCCUGUAAGAUGAAGUUCACGGAGCCCUUUCAGUGGGUUCCACCACAGCCCGUACCUUGAAAUUCUCUCACUACCUCACCCCAGCCUCUCUGCUCCUCUGCCCAGAUGUGUCAGCCUCUGUCCCAAGCUGUCUACUCCUCGUGUCCUGGCUCUCCUGUGUGCCAUUUCCUUUGAGUUUAUUACAUUUUGUUGCAGUUGUCACUGUUGGGUGUUACCUUUUACAUCUGUUUGCUAGUUUGUCUUCUCCCCAUUGGAAGUCAGUUGUUUGAGAGCAGGGGUUUUAUGUUCCAGCCUGUGCCAAAGAGAACAGCUGCCAGCCAGUAAAAGCUCACUUAGCCCCGCACUCUACGAGACUGAGACAAGAGGAUCGCAUGUUUGAGCCCAGCCCGGGCAACUUAACAAGAACCUGUCUCAAAAAAUAAAACAGAAAGAGCUCAUGUACUGUUGGUUGGGAUGGAUGAAUAUUGUUGCAUCACAUACCUCUUCUCACAUCCAGAGCCUUUGCCUGCUUUGGGUUCUCUGUCUUGACCUACAAGUGUGCUCAAGUCUCUUCUUGGUGACAAAAGUCCCCCCAUAGCCCAGGGACCUUGCUGAACUGUCCUCAUAUUCAUAACCACACUGACUCUUCUCAAGCCUGACUUCCGCUGUUGUUCACGUAUUCUAGGCACUUUAUACUCUCUUGAGGACACCUAUGAGUUCCUACAAUGUGUUGCUGC